GACGAACGCUGGCGGCGUGCUUAACACAUGCAAGUCGAACGGAAAGGCCCUGCUUUUGUGGGGUGCUCGAGUGGCGAACGGGUGAGUAACACGUGAGUAACCUGCCCUUGACUUUGGGAUAACUUCAGGAAACUGGGGCUAAUACCGGAUAGGAGCUCCUGCUGCAUGGUGGGGGUUGGAAAGUUUCGGCGGUUGGGGAUGGACUCGCGGCUUAUCAGCUUGAUGGUGGGGUAGUGGCUUACCAAGGCUUUGACGGGUAGCCGGGCUGAGAGGGUGACCGGCCACAUUGGGACUGAGAUACGGCACAGACUCGUACGGGAGGCAGCAGUGGGGAAUAUUGCACAAUGGGCUGAAGCCUGAUGCAGCAACGCCGCGUGCGGUAUGACGGCCUUCGGGUUGUAAUCCGCUUUCGCCUGUGCCGAAGCGUGAGUGACGGUAAUGGGUAAAGAAGCACCGGCUAACUACGUG
rnacentral:rRNA from 1 species